AAAAAAUGAUGUUAUACUUCUUACGAUUAAAACGAGGAUCUCCGGUUAGUGCUAAUACUCACUCAAUUGCAUUCUAAAGUCCAAGGAGAUAAUCUAGUUGUUUCAUAUGCAGGGAAGGAUCUAAAAUUUCUUGUUAGUGAAGGCAAUAUAUAGACAUAUAAAUACGCAUUCUCACUCAUAUAUGCAUUAAACUAAUAAAUUAAUUUUUUGGUAAAUAAAAAGUAAUAAAUUGAUUUCAAUAAAUAAAAAUUAAUUAAUUUUAGGGAUUUCAAAUACCAAUAAUUCAAAUUUUAAUGGGAAAGAGAGAAAAUUAUUUAUAACAAUAAUAAUAACUAAGUUUUAAUCCCAAACUAG
rnacentral:misc_RNA from 1 species